rnacentral:lncRNA from 1 species
AAGAUCAAGAAAUUAAGGUGAAGAUGAAGGUGCUAAAGUCAUGGUUUGUUUUGCGUCUCACAUGUUUGCUGCUUCUUUUACUUGCAUGCAUAUGUGUACUUGGGUAAUAAUCCAUAACAAAUUUCUGAUUCCUAAUAUGACACAUACUUUGGUUCUUAAUUUUCUUGUUAAUCAACUAAUAUUGUUAUUAUUUUUGACAUAACAGAAUUGAAGGGUACAACGUUGUAAUUCAUGAAGCAUCAGGUAGGCCUUCUGAUCGUCCAUUACCGCGUCACUCGCCUCCCUCUGCUCCUACCACUCCUAUUCCAAAACAUCUAUAGAAGAUCUCCAAAGUCCAACCAAAACAAUUAUUUAUGUUUCUUCAUUUUACUCUCC